AAAAGAAGACAUAGACGACUGAGUUUAAGUUAAAGAAAUACUAUGUGCUCAUGGAUCACGUAGAACAACGCGCAGGAGUAAUUAGUGAGCCAUUAAAAAAAUUAUAAAUCACAUAUUGUGCUUUUAUUGUGUCCAGAAACUUAAACUGCAUGUGCGUAUUAAAAGGCAAACAUUUCGAGUGUUGCUAAGAGCCCCCAAAGGUGCAACGGCCUAACGACAGGAGAACCAAUUAACGCAGCCCAAAAGUCUCCGACCGGUUUGAAAAAACUUUGGAAAGUUCGAGAGCCUAUAUCUCACGUCUGUUGAGGUGGCUAACGAUACGCAAAUUGUUGCAUAAAGAGCGGCUUUAUCUAUACAAUACAUCUGUAACAGACGCACUCCAACACCACAUAACUCCUAUUAUACUAUGUUAGAUCGUGACAAUAUUAGUAAGUAUCUUCAUUCAGAUGUGUUUAUUAACUAAUAUCAGAAUAAGACAGUUUACAUUUCAUGUUAUAAACGUUUGAAUUGAUGGCGAACAACUCAAUAGUCUGCUCCAUGCACUUAAGCAAAUAUUUGCGCACUUCUUCAUCAUCAUGCCUAACACGCUUGCUUCUAGUCGUAUAUGGGCAAUAUUCCUCGUGCAGGCACCUGCUCUUUAACUAUAUUCCAUAUACUGGCAUGAGGCCCGGUGAUUGCGACGGCCACUCCACUAGAUUUCGUCGACUUAUUCAUCUGUAUAGCAACUCCCCGUCCACGAAUCCACACACGAUUAGUGUGUAGUGUGGCGACGCUCCGUCUUGUCGAAAAAAGUAUCGUAUUGCUAUUGCAGCCGUGACAGAAUGAUGUCCCGCAGUCUACGCAGGCAUAAGUCUUUCGUAAAGGCUAAAUAAAAAACAAACAGAUUUGAUCAGUGCUUUAUACGAAACAGCCGGCCAAGCCGAUACCCAGCUGGUUCAUUCAUUGUUCACGCGGAAAUUUCUGUUGCAUAAUGGACACAAUUUUGCCUGUUUAAAGCACCUAAAAGUUCAAAAUGAGGUUCAUCAAUCAACGUGUCAAGUAUACUGGCUUUUAUCUACAGCGCCAUUACCAAGUUUUGAAGACAAAUUCGGAAUAACCGUGAUACAAGUUCCACAUUAUGCGACGCAUGGGUGUUCCCAAAAAUAUUUGGCUUGAGUAAAGCUCUGCGUGUGGACGUUUCGGGGUUUUCAACAAUCCUUCUAACUAAAAUUUUAUUCGCCGUUGUCGUGUGUACCACGACAUCCACUUGCCAUUCUCCGUAAAAAAGAAUGGCAAAUAAAUCUGGUAGCUUCGCUCAUUGCAUCGACUGUUUGCCUUGACUGCGGCGUGGUUCCAAAUAUUUGAAUCUACUCCUUUCAUGCUCGGCUUUUGUUUGACGAUCUACUUCCUUUCAUUAUAGGCCAAGUCCAUCUAAAAAUAAUUGACAUACACAACUUAGACAACGUAGUACAACAGGGAUAGUCAAAUUGCACAAUGAGUUAUCCUUUAAUUCAACAAACGUACAUUACAACUAAUUUAAACAAUUUUGCGAGAGGACCCAUCAUGUGGGAUUUUAAGUGAGAAGUGUCAGGAUUGCAACAAGUGUUAGCUUUAAAUGUAGAAUUAGAAAAAGAAGCACGAGCGACUGUUGACUAUAGGCUGGGGCGUCCAAGUCCCUUUUAUGGUUUUUUCUGAGUUUGUGAAGACAGACUUUUCUUGGUUUUUAUACCCAAUAGGAUACGUACAAAAGACAACAGAAAUAGAUUCCAAGUAAUAGUUCGCCUGGAACGAUUCUGGAGAUUUCUGAGAUUUAAAAUAAUACAUAUAAUAGUAUAUAGAUACGAAUGUGUUAACUGUUCUUCUUCCGAAGAGCUAGCAACUUGGUUUUUCGAACUCCGUUUAGGUAAAAGAUUGUGCAGUCCAAUGCUCACAUACGACGACAAUAUGUUUCCAAAGAUAGUUUUGCUAAGCCAAAAAAAUACAUGUUUGUGCUUUCUUCGUAGACCUGUCAGCGUCGAAUCUGAAGUAAACGAAAACUCGGCUAUAAAGCUGGACUACAUGUAAAGUUUCAGAAAGUAAAUUCAGAGAGUACAAGAAAGAAUAAGUCAAAUAAGAUAUUGAAAUGCUGCAUUUCCAUUGUAAUAUUACAUCCUGUAUUAGUGCAUUAGGAUGGUCCUGUUAUAGAUGAGUUAUACAGUGUACGUCCGCCCUUUACUGUAAUAAUUCGCUUAUCUCUCGCAAACAAAAACUCUCUAACUGUCCGGAAAUUUUAUACUUUGCAUCCUCCUUCGUUGCAUUUAGAGCGCUACGCAAGCCAUUGCAUGACAGGUAUAUACAUAUAUAUAUUAUGGCUUUCCACUAAUCUUUGGUAACAUUUUACCUACACACUGUUUCCAAUUUCUAUUUACAUAUCUGCGUAUUGGGAGUCCUUACUGCACAGCUUAGUAUUACUUGUAAUUGGUGUACCUAUCGUAUUUUGCAUAACUGUUGGUCUUUAUAGAUAAGUGUUUUAAUUUAAAUUGAAAAUUUAAUAUGGAUUUGGUUUACAUGUUGUAAAUAAAAUUUCUGUUUUUUAGCUGUUGGAUGCCCAAUCGACGGUUUCAUGACUGAUAUAUGAUGGUCACCACGGCAAAGUCAGUGGUCACAUCUCGAAGACUAAUUGCUUGUGUUUGCCUAAUACUGCUCAUAGUGAGAACCUCUAAUGCCAACGACUCCAUCAAUUCAUCUAGUACGGACCUUCCGCGAGCUAGAGCAGCCAGCUCUCCGGCGCCGCAUAUCAAUAGCGUCGACCGCAGUAGCACGAUAGCAUUUUCAACUAACAGUACUAUAAGCAGUGGAAGUUCGAGAAUUAAUGUGCCAUCCGAGAGGACCGUGGAUGUCUCCAAAGCUUUACCAGCUGCGAAGACGAGCCAUAUACUGAUACCUAAUGUCCCACACGGACCCGUGGCUCCGAGUUUUGAAACAUCUGAUGCGUUUUCAACGGUCGUUUAUGUUGUUGUUGGUUUAACGGUUGUCAUUCUGAUCUACAUGGUUGUGAAAAAUUUUCGACGCCGGUAUGCGACGGUGCGCGCUGAGCGAUACGGAGUUCGUCGACGAUGGAAGGACCAAGAGCUUCAGCCACUGGGAAAAGACGACGACG